GACAGAGGGUGCAAACGUUGUUCGGAAUUACUGGGCGUAAAGCGCGUGUAGGCGGCUCGGAAAGUCGGGUGUGAAAGCCCUGGGCUUAACCCAGGAAGUGCACUCGAAACUUCCGAGCUGGAGUCCUGGAGAGGAAGGCGGAAUUCUCGGUGUAGAGGUGAAAUUCGUAGAUAUCGAGAGGAACACCGGUGGCGAAGGCGGCCUUCUGGGACAGUGACUGACGCUGAGACGCGAAAGCGUGGGGAGCAAACAGG
rnacentral:rRNA from 1 species